CUCAGUUCAGAUCGUAGGCUGCAACUCGCCUACGUGAAGGCGGAAUCGCUAGUAAUCGCAGGUCAGCAUACUGCGGUGAAUACGUUCCCGGGCCUUGUACACACCUCCCGUCACACCAUGGAAGUUGGCCACGCCCGAAGCCGUUACUCCAACCCUUGUGGAGGAGGACGUCGAAGGUGGGGCUGAUGACUGGGGUGAAGUCGUAACAAGGUAUCCGUACCGGAAGGUGCGGAUGGAUCACCUCCUAA
rnacentral:rRNA from 1 species